GUUCAUAUGGUAAAAAAUUGAUGUUCUUAAGAAGCGUUUUACGGUUCUGGUCAAUCUUAAUAUCGAAGAUUUUUUGACUGCCUAUAGAAAAAAUUUAGAGUUGCAGAAUCAAAAAUCAAGUUGCCGUACUUGUGGGUCACCGAUUCCUACAGUAUUAAAACGAUCAAAACCGAUCAAGGAACAGUUUAAGUUUCAAUUUCUAAGCUCUAGUUUCAACUUCAGUGCCACCAAAGUAGAAGGUUUUAGUCCUUUCAAAUUCUCUUAAAAAUCAAAAUAAACGUGCUGAAGCCCCGUCCCUUCUUGAGAACUCGACGGAACUGAUUAAUCUGAGGUGGAUUUCAUAUCAAUUAUGGAUGAAGUUUCUCUCAACACGGAGCCAGCAGGUGAUGAUGAUGUUGAAGAUUUUGAGGUAGUUGGAGAUUGUGCAAUGACAGAAUAUGUAGGUCAAACUGGUAUUCUCCAAAAUCCCCUGCCUCCUGCUGUUGGAAUGGAGUUUGAAACGUAUGAAGAUGUAUAUUACUUCUACAAUUGCUAUGCCAAAGAACAGGGAUUUGGUGUCAGAGUUAGCAAUACAUGGUACAGAAAAAGUAAAGAAAAAUACAGAGGAAAACUUAGCUGCAGUAGUGCAGGUUUCAAGAAGAAAAGUGAAGCAAAUCGCCCAAGACCAGAAACAAGGACUGGUUGUCCAGCAAUGAUAAAGUUCAGGUUGAUGGAAAAUAAAAGGUGGAGAAUUAUUGAAGCUGAGCUUGAGCACAACCACUUGAUUAGCCCGGCAAGUGGAAAGUUUUAUAAGUCACAUAAGCACAUAGGUCCUGGAACCAAAAGAACAUUGCAGUUAGAUGGUGCUGAUGAAGUACAAAAAAUUCGUUUAUUUCGAACUGUGAUUAUUGAUGCUGAGGGAAAUGGUAAUGUAGAUGUUAGUGGAGAAUUUGGGAACAAUGUUGACAACUGCAAUAAAUUGAAGCUUAAAGCAGGAGAUGCCCAAUCUGUUCAUAAUUUCUUUUGUCGCUUGCAGUUGAUGGAUCCUAACUUCUUUAAUGUGGUAGAUCUAAAUGAAAAAGGAUGCUUGAGGAAUCUGUUCUGGACUGAUGCAAGGUCAAGAGUUGCAUAUAGGUAUUUUGGUGAUGUAGUUUCAAUUGACACAACAUGCUUGGCAGACAAAUAUGAUGUACCUCUGGUUUCAUUUAUCGGCAUGAAUCACCAUGGACAACCAGUUUCACUGGGCUGUGGAUUACUUGCAGGUGAGACCAUUGAAUCAUAUACAUGGUUGUUUAGGGCAUGGCUUACAUGCAUGUUAGGACGCCCUCCACAAUCAAUCAUCACAGACUACUGUAAAAUCUUGCAAGUUGCUGUUGCUGAUGUUUUCCCAAGAGCUUAUCAUUGUUUUUCUUUAUGGCAUAUCAUGCAAGAAGUUCCAAAUAAAUUACACGGAUUGUUUGAAUAUGAAGCAAUUGAAGUGGCACUGAAUAAAACAGUUUAUCACUCUCUAAGGCCUGAGGAAUUUGAAACAUCGUGGGAAGAUAUGAUCCAACGUCAUGGAAUAAGGGAGCAUGAAUGGAUUCAAACUUUAUAUGAAGAUCGAAGACGGUGGGCUCCAGUUUACUUAAAGGAGACAUUUUUGGCAGGACUCUUUCCAGUCCAUCAGAAUGAUGCUUUUACUCCAUUUUUUAAAGGAUAUCUUGAGAAAAAUACCCCUUUGAAAGAAUUUCUGGAGAAGUAUGAUCAAGCUCUUCAAGCAAAUUAUCAACUUGAAGCUUUGGCAGAUAUGGAAUCAAGAAACUCAAGUCAUUUGCUCAAGCCAAGGUGUUACUUUGAGUUCCAACUCGGAACAUUGUAUACAAAUGAAAUAUCAAGGAAGUUUGAGAGAGAGAUUGAUGGAAUGUACUCUUGUUUUAGCACUAGGCAUAUGAAUGCUGAGGGGCCAAUUGUAACAUACAUAGUUAAGGAAGAAUUUGAAGAUGGAAAUGGGAGAGAUUCCAGAGUUUUUGAUGUUCUGUACAAUCCAUCUGAAAAGGAAGUGCUUUGUGUUUGCGGGAUGUUCAAUUUCAGAGGAUAUUUAUGUAGACACAUCCUGAGUGUUCUAAAACAGAACGGUAUGCCGGAAAUCCCAUCUCAUUACAUUCUUUCGCGAUGGAGAAAAGAUAUCAAACGUUCUUAUGUUCUUGAUCAUAGCUGCAGUGGCAUUGAUAUUGAUAACCCAGUGCACAGGUAUGAUCAUCUGUACAAACGCAUUAUGCAGGCUGUCGAGGAAGGGAGACAAUCCGAAGAUCGUUACAAGGUUACAAUGCAAGCAUUAGAUGAGAUAUUAAAGAAGCUUCAUCUGGUAGAGGAUGAUCAAGUAUAAUUUAUGAAGCAGGAUUAUCAAAGCUCUUCCUAGAUGAUAAAAACCAGCAAACAAAUUCAUGGCUAGUUUCAUACCUGCCGGAUUUGGUGCUGCUCUCGAUGCAUUUGAUGACCAAAUAUUGGCACUUGUAGUCAUUGAGAAGCACAAGAGCUCCCUGAAGAUGCUAAGAACUCCUGAGUGUUCAAAAAGUGGAGCAUCUGUGUUAGCGACCCAUGUAACUGUUCCUUAUGAAACUUUCGUGUAUCAAAUGCAAAAGUUCUUAAAGGAUUCGCCUGAAGAACCCAAGUAUUCUAUUUAAACUUUGUUGAGCAGAGCAAGAAUGAUGAGCACAUCGGAUGGUUUAUUAUUAUUUCUUUCCAUAUGAGACCUUGAUUAUGAGUGCUGGAAAUGGCAAUUCUUAAACAUCUCUUAGCUUCCUCCUGUUUGCUGUUGUGAAUUUUAUAUGGAAACCACAUCUCCGUUUUUCAAUUUGAA